AGAGGAUGCAUCUUCGGGUUCAUCCUGAGGAACCUCCUCGAUCUCCCUCUAAGUGGUUGGAGUUUGAAAACUUCGAUCCCUAAUCGGAUUCUCAUCUUCGGACUCUCUACCAAAAGAAGCCAUGAGAGAAAAGGAAACUCAAAGGCAAAAGCUUAAAAAGAGGGGAGGAGACAAAGGAAAAACUUCAAAGGAAAGAGAUCGACAAAGAUAGCAAGGAUGACGAC
rnacentral:lncRNA from 1 species